CUUUCUUUUGUUUUGUGUUUUUUGAACAUUUUGAUAACUAUAUGUAUCUCUUGUAAUUGUUUAUUAAUUUUCUGUAUCAUUUCUGGUUUUAAUCAGUGAACUUCACUCUUCCUUCUUGGUUUGAUUGGCAUUUUUUGACUAAGCCAGGUACUGUGAAUCUUCGUAGACAUGGAAUCUGCCAGAUCUCUGUUUUUAAGGUGUGAUAUAUUGGGCAGAACAGUACUUAGCCUUGUAUGAUUAUCCACACCUUUGGACGUUACAGUCUCCAGAGCACUUUAUGGGACUGGAGAGGUGAAGGUCAGAGGACAGUGUAUGGGUGUCAACUUUCUUCCUCUACCACAUGACUUCUGAGGAUAAUACUUGGGCCAUCAGGUGCCAUGCUUGGCUCCAAGUGCCUCUGCCUGCUGACCCAUUUUGGAGCACUGGGAUUGUAGACUUCCACUACCAUGCCUGUCUUUAUAUGGGCACUGAAGAUUCAAACCCAGGUCUUCAGGAAUGGCAACAAGCAUCUUCCUACUAAGAUAUCUCCCCAGCCCAUGAUUUUUUCUCUCCUAGCUGGUUGUUAUGGUUUGCAUCUGAAACAUCCCCCUCAAGCUCAUGUGUUUGAACACUUGGUCUCCAACUGUUGGUGCUGUCUUGGACGGUCAUGGAACCUUUGGGAUGUAGAGACUAGCAAGUAGAUGUAAGACAUUAAGGGCUGACCUUGAACGUUGUAGCCAGUUCUGCUUCUAGUCUAACUCUCUGCUUCCUGAUUCCAUGAUGCGACCAGGCACAAGCUCCUGUCACCAUGAGCUAAGUUGUUCUAGUUGCUAUGCUUUUCCAUUAUGGAUUGUACCUUCUGGAACUGUGAGCCAAGCAGACCUGUCUUUCACUUAAGUAGCUUGCAGCCCCUUAUUCUGUUAUAGAGCUGGGAAAAUUAGCUAAGCUAAUAAAAUGUUAGCUAGGGGCUGGAGAGAUGUCUCAGAAACUAAGAACACUGGCUGCUCUUGAAGAGGACUCAGGUCCAUU